AGAGUUUGAUCCUGGCUCAGGAUGAACGCUAGCGGCAGGCCUAACACAUGCAAGUCGAGGGGUAGAGUUCUUCGGAACUUGAGACCGGCGCACGGGUGCGUAACGCGUAUGCAAUCUACCUUAUACAGGGGAAUAGCCCAGAGAAAUUUGGAUUAAUGCCCCAUAGUGUUAUCGAAUCGCAUGGUUUGAUAACUAAAGUUCCAACGGUAUAAGAUGAGCAUGCGUCCCAUUAGUUAGUUGGUAAGGUAACGGCUUACCAAGACAAUGAUGGGUAGGGGUCCUGAGAGGGAGAUCCCCCACACUGGUACUGAGACACGGACCAGACUCCUACGGGAGGCAGCAGUGAGGAAUAUUGGUCAAUGGACGCAAGUCUGAACCAGCCAUGCCGCGUGCAGGAAGAAGCAUCUAUGGUGUGUAAACUGCUUUUAUACAGGAAGAAACAACGCUACGUGUAGCGUCUUGACGGUACUGUAAGAAUAAGGACCGGCUAACUCCGUGCCAGCAGCCGCGGUAAUACGGAGGGUCCAAGCGUUAUCCGGAAUCAUUGGGUUUAAAGGGUCCGUAGGCGGUCUUAUAAGUCAGUGGUGAAAGCCCAUCGCUCAACGAUGGAACUGCCAUUGAUACUGUAAGACUUGAAUACUUAGGAAGUAACUAGAAUAUGUAGUGUAGCGGUGAAAUGCUUAGAUAUUACAUGGAAUACCAAUUGCGAAGGCAGGUUACUAACAAGUUAUUGACGCUGAUGGACGAAAGCGUGGGGAGCGAACAGGAUUAGAUACCCUGGUAGUCCACGCCGUAAACGAUGGAUACUAGCU
rnacentral:rRNA from 1 species